AACUCCCCCAGCCUUUUCUUGUGCACUCCUGAGAUGCAGCGACAAUUGUGUCAGCUCUCCACAAAUGCAAUGAACUGCCAUUUGCAGAUUUGUGCGUCGGCCGGUGCCGUCACUCUUGUUCUCCAGACGGUACGUUUCAUUGUCCAACAUCCGCUGCAAGCAUGGAUCGUUUCUGUACCACAGAUCCUGGAGAUACUGUUCUUUGGUUGCCUACUGUGUUUGUCUGCAGCUGGUAAGUGGAACACGUGCGCGUUACGUCCGUCCCAGCUGCUUGUUGAUGGCUAUGUGCACGCGUGGGACUGAAUUGUGCGUCAAGCCUGCAACUGCAAGGGAAGAGACGGAGACCACAAACUCCAUAAAGCGGUUGGGCCUGUCUGGCGUCUGCUUACAGCUGGAUAGAGCUGACGGCAACUUGCUGCAAGUGACCAAUGUAGAGACACCGUAAAACGUUUUCGCUGGCAGGAGGCCAGGGCUAUUUUCGAAAAGCCCAUGAAUUCGAGGUACUUCAUUAGGGGAUUUCGUUCUCAUUUUCAGGUACAGAAACACAAGAGUUGAGUGGCCAAUCACUUUUUGAGACGUAAUGUUUCUUGCACAUCCAUCACGGUAUCUCUUUAGGUCGUCCGUUCUCUGCAUGGAGGCCUGGUGCGACUCGUCUUCUCGUCUUCUAUGUAGCUGUUCGUGGAAGUCCCAGACAUGUUGGCGACACCAUUCUUGGCAGCACAUGACCUAGAUUGCCCGCAAUGGUGCAACAACGCCCACAAGCACAUCCUGAGAGAGGUUGGUCUUCAUGCAAAUGACCAUGAAGACAACUCUCUUUUCUCCGAUGUCAACUGGCU
rnacentral:lncRNA from 1 species